rnacentral:rRNA from 1 species
CAGUCGCCACGGGAAAACGAAGGGGGCUAGCGUUGUUCGGAAUUACUGGGCGUAAAGGGCGCGUAGGCGGCCAUUCAAGUUAGAUGUGAAAGCCCUGGGCUCAACCUAGGAAUUGCAUUUGAUACUGUUUGGCUUGAGUUCGGGAGAGGUGAGUGGAAUUCCCAGUGUAGAGGUGAAAUUCGUAGAUAUUGGGAAGAACACCAAUGGCGAAGGCGGCUCACUGGACCGACACUGACGCUGAGGCGCGAAAGCGUGGGGAGCAAACAGGAUUAGAUACCCCCGUAGUCCCUGUCUCUUAUAC